GUGCUCGUUUCAGCAGCACAUAUGCUAAAAUUGGAAGGAUAUAGAGAAGAUUAGCAUGGCCCAUGCACAAGGAUGAAAAAAUAAUUUAAAGAAAACAUAUAGAACAUA
rfam:Pteropus alecto contig110030, whole genome shotgun sequence.